GACGAACGCUGGCGGCGUGCCUAAUACAUGCAAGUAGAACGCUGAAGGAGGAGCUUGCUCUUCUGGAUGAGUUGCGAACGGGUGAGUAACGCGUAGGUAACCUGCCUGGUAGCGGGGGAUAACUAUUGGAAACGAUAGCUAAUACCGCAUAACAGUAGAUGUUGCAUGACAUUUACUUAAAAGGUGCAAUUGCAUCACUGCCAGAUGGACCUGCGUUGUAUUAGCUAGUUGGUGGGGUAACGGCUCACCAAGGCGACGAUACAUAGCCGACCUGAGAGGGUGAUCGGCCACACUGGGACUGAGACACGGCCCAGACUCCUACGGGAGGCAGCAGUAGGGAAUCUUCGGCAAUGGACGGAAGUCUGACCGAGCAACGCCGCGUGAGUGAAGAAGGUUUUCGGAUCGUAAAGCUCUGUUGUAAGAGAAGAACGAGUGUGAGAGUGGAAAGUUCACACUGUGACGGUAUCUUACCAGAAAGGGACGGCUAACUACGUG
rnacentral:rRNA from 1 species